AACGCUGGCGGCAGGCCUAACACAUGCAAGUACGAGACGGUAAACAGGAAGCAGCUUCGCUGCUUUCCUGAACGAGUGGCGGAACGGGUGAGUAAAUGUCUGGGAAAACUGCCUGAAGGAGGGGGAUAACUACUGGAAACGGUAGCUAAUACCGCAUAAUGUCGCAAGACCAAAGAGGGGGACCUUCGGGCCUCUUGCCAUCGGAUGUGCCCAGAUGGGAUUAGCUUGUUGGUGGGGUAACGGCUCACCAAGGCGACGAUUCCCUAGCUGGUCUGAGAGGAUGACCAGCCACACUGGAACCGAGACACGGUCCAGACUCCUACGGGAGGCAGCAGUGGGGAAUAUUGCACAAUGGGCGCAAGCCUGAUGCAGCCAUGCCGCGUGUAUGAAGAAGGCCUUCGGGUUGUAAAGUACUUUCAGCGGGGAGGAAGGGAGUAAAGUUAAUACCUUUGCUCAUUGACGUUACCCGCAGAAGAAGCACCGGCUAACUCCGUGCCAGCAGCCGCGGUAAUACAGAGGGUGCAAGCGUUAAUCGGAAUUACUGGGCGUAAAGCGCACGCAGGCGGUUUGUUAAGUCAGAUGUGAAAUCCCCGGGCUCAACCUGGGAACUGCAUCUGAUACUGGCAAGCUUGAGUCUCGUAGAGGGGGGUAGAAUUCCAGGUGUAGCGGUGAAAUGCGUAGAGAUCUGGAGGAAUACCGAUGGCGAAGGCGGCCCCCUGGACGAAGACUGACGCUCAGGUGCGAAAGCGUGGGGAGCAAACAGGAUUAGAUACCCUGGUAGUCCACGCCGUAAACGAUGUCGACUUGGAGGUUGUGCCCUUGAGGCGUGGCUUCCGGAGCUAACGCGUUAAGUCGACCGUCUGGGGAGUACGGCCGCAAGGUUAAAACUCAAAUGAAUUGACGGGGGCCCGCACAAGCGGUGGAGCAUGUGGUUUAAUUCGAUGCAACGCGAAGAACCUUACCUGGUCUUGACAUCCACGGAAGUUUUCAGAGAUGAGAAUGUGCCUUCGGGAACCGUGAGACAGGUGCUGCAUGGCUGUCGUCAGCUCGUGUUGUGAAAUGUUGGGUUAAGUCCCGCAACGAGCGCAACCCUUAUCCUUUGUUGCCAGCGGUCCGGCCGGGAACUCAAAGGAGACUGCCAGUGAUAAACUGGAGGAAGGUGGGGAUGACGUCAAGUCAUCAUGGCCCUUACGACCAGGGCUACACACGUGCUACAAUGGCGCAUACAAAGAGAAGCGACCUCGCGAGAGCAAGCGGACCUCAUAAAGUGCGUCGUAGUCCGGAUUGGAGUCUGCAACUCGACUCCAUGAAGUCGGAAUCGCUAGUAAUCGUGGAUCAGAAUGCCACGGUGAAUGCGUUCCCGGGCCU
rnacentral:rRNA from 1 species